AGGAACCAAAACAGCAUGGUAUUGGUACAAAACUACACAAGACCAAUGGAACAGAAUAGAGAACCCAGAAAUAAGACCGCACACCUACAACUGUGUGAUCUUUGACAAACCUGAUAAAAACAAGCGAUGGGGACAGAAU